AUUGAACGCUGGCGGCAGGCUUAACACAUGCAAGUCGAGCGGAGAUGAGGUGCUUGCACCUUAUCUUAGCGGCGGACGGGUGAGUAAUGCUUAGGAAUCUGCCUAUUAGUGGGGGACAACAUUCCGAAAGGAAUGCUAAUACCACAUACGUCCUACGGGAGAAAGCAGGGGAUCUUCGGACCUUGCGCUAAUAGAUGAGCCUAAGUCGGAUUAGCUGGUUGGUGGGGUAAAGGCCUACCAAGGCGACGAUCUGUAGCGGGUCUGAGAGGAUGAUCAGCCACACUGGGACUGAGACACGGCCCAGACUCCUACGGGAGGCAGCAGUGGGGAAUAUUGGACAAUGGGGGGAACCCUGAUCCAGCCAUGCCGCGUGUGUGAAGAAGGCCUUAUGGUUGUAAAGCACUUUAAGCGAGGAGGAGGCUACUGAGACUAAUACUCUUGGAUAGUGGACGUUACUCGCAGAAUAAGCACCGGCUAACUCUGUGCCAGCCGCCGCGGUAA
rnacentral:rRNA from 1 species